GUUGAACGCUGGCGGCAGGCCUAAUACAUGCAAGUCGAGCGAGCGGCGGACGGGUGAGUAAUGUAUGGGCACUGCGCGACAGAGGGGGAUAACUACUGGAAACCGUGGCUAAUACCGCAUACUACCGGAUAGCCCAUAUGGGAUUAGCUAGUAGGUGGGGUAAAGGCUGACCUAGGCGACGAUCCCUAGCUGGUCUGAGAGGCUGAUCGGCCACACUGGGACUGAGACACGGCCCAGACUCCUACGGAGGCAGCAGUGGGGAAUCUUGCGCAAUGGGCGCAAGCCUGAUGCAGCCAGGCCGCGUGUAUGAAGAAGGUCUUAGGAUUGUAAAAUACUUUAAGCGGAGAGGCGUUAUCUGAAGAGAAAGCACCGGCUAACUCCGUGCCAGCAGCCGCGGUAAUAC
rnacentral:rRNA from 1 species